rnacentral:rRNA from 1 species
UGAGUACGAGACGCUAAGGCGUCGAAGUAGUGUAUGUCAUACUUCCAAGAAAAGCUUGCACUGUCAUUCAUAAAAAAUGCCUGUACCAUAACCGACACAGGUGGGUAGGUAGAGUAUACUAAGGGGCGCGAGAUAACUCUCUCUAAGGAACUCGGCAAAAUAACUCCGUAACUUCGGGAGAAGGAGUGCCUUAUUUAUAUAAGGUUGCAAUAACAAGAUCCAAGCAACUGUUUACCAAAAACACAGGUCUCCGCUAAGUCGUAAGACGAUGUAUGGGGGCUGACGCCUGCCCAGUGCCAGAAGGUUAAAGAAGUUGGUUAGCAAUAGCGAAGCUGAUAACUGAAGCCCUGGUGAACGGCGGCCGUAACAAUAACGGUCCUAAGGUAGCGAAAUUCCUUGUCGGGUAAGUUCCGACCCGCACGAAAGGCGUAAUGAUUUGGAUACUGUCUCGGAGAGGGACUCGGUGAAAUAGACUUGUCUGUGAAGAUGCGGACUACCUGCACCUGGACAGAAAGACCCUAUGAAGCUUUACUGUAACUUGAAAUUGAAAUUGGACUUUAUUCGCGCAGUAUAGGUGGGAGGCGUUGAAAAUAAUCUUGCGGGACUAUUGGAGCCAUCAGUGAGAUACCACUCUUAUAAUGUUAGAUUUCUAACUUUGAAUCAUUAUCUGGUCAAAGAACAGUUUCAGGCGGGCAGUUUGACUGGGGCGGUCGCCUCCCAAACGGUAACGGAGGCGUACAAAGGUUUCCUCUGAACGGGUAGAAAUCGUAUCUAGAGUAUAAAGGCAAAAGGAAGCUUGACUGUGAGACCCACAAGUCGAGCAGGGACGAAAGUCGGUCUUAGUGAUCUGACGGUACUGAGUGGAAAGGCCGUCACUCAACGGAUAAAAGUUACUCUUAGGAUAACAGGCUGAUCUCCCCCAAGAGUUCACAUCGACGGGGAGGUUUGGCACCUCGAUGUCGGCUCAUCGCAUCCUGGGGCGGUAGUACGUCCCAAGGGUUGGGCUGUUCGCCCAUGAAAGCGGUACGCGAGCUGGGUUCAGAACGUCGUGAGACAGUUCGGUCCAUAUCCGGUGUAGGCGUUAGAAUAUUGAGAGGAGCCUUCUUUAGUACGAGAGGACCGAGAAGGACAUACCUCUGGUGUACCAGUUAUCGUGCCAACGGUAAACGCUGGGUAGCUAUGUAUGGAGUGGAUAACCGCUGAAAGCAUCUAAGUGGGAAGCCCACCUCAAGAUGAG